rnacentral:rRNA from 1 species
AGAGAGAGACAUGCGCGCAUAUCAAUAAGCGGAGGAAAAGAAACUAACCAGGAUUCCCUUAGUAACGGCGAGUGAAGCGGGAAGAGCUCAAAUUUGAAAUCUUCAAGGUUCUACCUUGACGAAUUGUAGUUUAUAGAAGUGUUUUCUGUUAGUGGAGUGGCAAAAGUUCUUUGGAAUAGGACAUCAUAGAGGGUGAGAAUCCCGUAUUUGGUCAUUCCUCCUAGCGUCGUGAUACACUUUCAACGAGUCGGAUUGUUUGGGAAUGCAGUCCAAAAUGGGUGGUAAAUUUCAUCUAAAGCUAAAUAUUGGCGAGAGACCGAUAGCGAACAAGUACCGUGAGGGAAAGAUGAAAAGAACUUUGAAAAGAGAGUUAAACAGUACGUGAAAUUGUCAAAAGGGAAGCGUUUGACACCAGUGUUGUUUUUCCGAAAAUCAAUUACGAAUGUUUUGUUUUUGAGGAGUUAUGACUUCAUCGGCUUGCUUCUUUCUUUACGAAACUUUCUUAAUGCACUUUUCGGUUAACAAGUCAACAUCAAUUUCUUUUGUUGUAAAAGGGUAUGAGGAAGGUGGCUUUCUUUUCGGAGAAAGUGUUUAUAGCCUUGUGCCUCUGCAAUCGGAGAGAUAGAGGUCUGCAGCGUAGAUCCUUCGGGGUUAGAUACGUCUGUGCUAAGUUAUAGCUUUUCAUAGACAACUUGUUGACUAUGUUUAGUCUUGUAGCUUACUCGCUGACGCUAUUUUACCUACGCUUAGGAUGUUGAUAGUCACAGCGUGUAC